rnacentral:snRNA from 1 species
UGGACUGAAGGGAGCUCCCU